CGCCUCGAGAAGCGUUCCGCGACCAGACGAGACGACCGCGCGAAGACGCACUGCACUGCACUGUUCGCUAUCCGGUAUCACGUGCAAUACGAGUAACUGCGGUAUGCUAUACGCGCGUCUCGACAGUAAAUCGCUUUCGGUUUGUAGAAUCGUUUUUUUUUCUACGGCGGAUGUAAUAAUUAUUAUUACGAUCGGACCGAACGAAACGCGUAAAAUUGCUCGUGUAUUGUUGUUAUUAUUAUUAUUACGAUUCGAAAACGUAUAGACGCGCGGCACGCGGUAUACGGUACGCGGCGACAGGAUGCGCGCGCGAGCGAACGGUUCGACGUC